AUACCAUCUAAUCCCGUUCGGUGA
rnacentral:siRNA from 1 species